rnacentral:rRNA from 1 species
GAUGAACGCUGGCGGCGUGCCUAAUACAUGCAAGUAGAACGCUGAAGCUUGGUGCUUGCACCGAGCGGAUGAGUUGCGAACGGGUGAGUAACGCGUAGGUAACCUGCCUCUUAGCGGGGGAUAACUAUUGGAAACGAUAGCUAAUACCGCAUAAAAGUCGAUAUCGCAUGAUAUUGAUUUGAAAGGUGCAAUUGCAUCACUAAGAGAUGGACCUGCGUUGUAUUAGCUAGUUGGUGAGGUAACGGCUCACCAAGGCGACGAUACAUAGCCGACCUGAGAGGGUGAUCGGCCACACUGGGACUGAGACACGGCCCAGACUCCUACGGGAGGCAGCAGUAGGGAAUCUUCGGCAAUGGGGGCAACCCUGACCGAGCAACGCCGCGUGAGUGAAGAAGGUUUUCGGAUCGUAAAGCUCUGUUGUAAGAGAAGAACGAGUGUGAGAGUGGAAAGUCCACACUGUGACGGUAACUUACCAGAAAGGGACGGCUAACUACGUGCCAGCAGCCGCGGUAAUACGUAGGUCCCGAGCGUUAUCCGGAUUUAUUGGGCGUAAAGCGAGCGCAGGCGGUUAGAUAAGUCUGAAGUUAAAGGCUGUGGCUUAACCAUAGUACGCUUUGGAAACUGUUUAACUUGAGUGCAGAAGGGGAGAGUGGAAUUCCAUGUGUAGCGGUGAAAUGCGUAGAUAUAUGGAGGAACACCGGUGGCGAAAGCGGCUCUCUGGUCUGUAACUGACGCUGAGGCUCGAAAGCGUGGGGAGCAAACAGG